CAACCUUCAGCCAGACUCCCACCCGUGCACGAAGCUGCAGCGAGCUCGAUCCAAACCACGCGUGAAUCGCGCGAUCCCUAACCCCCUCUCCAAUCCGAGUACAUCAGGAGACUCCUCUCGCUCGUCUCAACCGAUUACAACACCUAGUGCUCCAGAUCCGCCUCGAUUACGAGCUCCCGAUCUCGCCGGAGUUCCGGCGCUGUUGACCUCUGCCAUCGUCGUUUCUGUCGCCUACAGAGGGUCCCUGAGUCUCUUUUCCCCGCUGUCCUCCUUGCCUUGAUCUCCUCUACCGCCUUGACCCUCUAUCUCGCACAGGGGGCACCGAACCGAGCGCAAAGACCUCGACCCGAAGAUCACCGUCGACGCCGGAGCUCCAACGCCACUGCAUUGCCGCCAGAGGACGCUCCCAUCGCCGUUGAUGACACCAUCGUCACAGCCGUUGAACGCGUCGACAGCCCGUCACCUCGCCUUCGCCGGAGAACCGCCGUAGGAACGCCGCCGCCCACGCCCGAGUAUUCCUCUGCUUCCGAUUUGCUCUGAGCGUGACGAGUAGAAUUAUCAGGAAUCGUGAGUGCGACGAACUUCAUCAAACGUAUCAGGCAAGUUACACCUUGAUCAUCCUUCAUCCUAUUUUUUUUCUAUGCAUGUAGUUAUAUAUAUCACAUUACUAUAUCAUGCAUGUGUAGGAAGAUUAUGGUAGCAUGUUAUUGCUACUGAAUUUCAGCUUAGUAUGGCCUUAUUUGUAUACCGUGGUAGUGUAUUUCUUGCUAUGCUAUGUAGAUGGGGAUUGGCUUGUGUAUGCAUCAAAAUUAUGCGAGGACUAUAUAUAUAAUAACUUGAGUAAAAACAUAAUAUAUAAUUCACCUCUGGACGGACAGGGUUGCAUCAUGGAAUUUCUUGUUCCUUUUCUACGGUAUUGCUGGGUGGUUUCAAGAACAUCAUGGUUUAUACCCUCUGAAUGUAAGUGGGUGCCGUCCAGGCUCAAAAAGAUCAGACAGACUUAGUGACUAGUAGCUUCCAUUUACAGCCAGUGGCUAAUAUGGGCUCUGGCUUAGUUGAUCGGUUGUGGAAACCUUACCCGGAUGUACCAGCAGAUGUAGUUAUGAUAGUUGGGACGGGCCUCCUGUGGGACUAGGCGACUGCUUCUGAAAGACUUUGUCUCAAUCUUCAGGUUGAGUCCAGUGGGUAAAGUGUACAGACCUCUGCAGAGUCUAUAAACUAAUCAUGAUUAGCCGUGUCCCCGGUUAUGGACAAAUUUGAGCGACUAUGCCAUUACAGUUGUUGGAUGAUCUUGACAGAUGAUACUUUAAUAAAAAUUGUGUGGGAAAAUUUAAUAAUGGGGAUAGGUUGGAAUUGGAUUGCCCAAUUCAGCCAUAUAUAUUUAAUUUAAUUGUAGCAAGGCAUAAUUAAAAUUUGACUAUUAUGUAGUUAUCAGGGGAAAUUGGCUUUUCUGCAAAACAAACCACCACUAUCCUCUUGAUAUACCUUGCAUAGGUCUGUUAUAUCAUUCCUUGUGUGACUUGCCAAUACAUUCAAAGUAUUGACCCUUCGUGGCUGCAACGUUUCAUGUUGCAGAUUUUAUACGACAAGUGAGUGAUACGAUGUAGGGUUACGAUGUCUAUACUCGACAUUUUCCUGUGGUGUUGAUGGAUUCCAUGAAGAUUUUAUUUGCUUUUCUGCUGUGUUUUUGUUAUGAGCUAGCCUUGAGCUAUGCAGGUAUGUAUUAUAUUAAAUUCUGGAUCUACGAUGUAAUAUUAUGACAUGUGGUUUAUUCUUGA